UACAGAGGGUGCGAGCGUUAAUCGGAAUUACUGGGCGUAAAGCGUGCGUAGACGGCUAUCUAAGUCGGGUGUGAAAGCCCCGGGCUCAACCUGGGAAUUGCAUUCGAGACUGAAUAGCUAGGGUACGGUAGAGGGAAGUGGAAUUUCCGGUGUAGCGGUGAAAUGCGUAGAUAUCGGAAGGAACAUCAGUGGCGAAGGCGGCAUCCUGGACUGGUCCUGACACUCAGGAGCGAAAGCGUGGGGAGCGAUCAGG
rnacentral:rRNA from 1 species